rnacentral:SRP_RNA from 1 species
GGUUGAGUCCCGUGCGAUUUCAGUACGUGAACCCUGUCAGAUCCGGAAGGAAGCAGCAGUAAGCGUUGUCUGGGAUGUGCUGCGGGGGCGCUCGGCCUGA